rnacentral:lncRNA from 1 species
CAAAACGGUCUUCCAGUAAAAAGAUGGUCAAGAAAAAAUCCAGCAGGAGAAAGUCUAAAAAAUAGUCUAGUUCGGAUACGGAGUCGACAGCGUCUGAGACGUCAUCCUUCGAAAACCCGGCAUCUUCAUGUGAUAGUAAUGAAGAUGACUGUUACGGCAUACUUCCAGCUAUCAAGAUAAAAAGCAAGACUGACAAAGUAAAAAAGGAAAAGAAAAAGAAAGAAAAAGUAAAAGAGAAAGGAAAAGAAAAGAAGAAGCGGGACACCUCAUCUUUAGAAUCAGAUUAAAAU